GCUGGGUCGAGUGUCAUAGAUCGAAAAACUGGAUUGAAGGACAGCUCGAACAGGGUUUAUAUUCAAAAACCAAAGAAGAAGGCAGGAAUUAAAAUUCCAAAUCGGAUUUUGUGGGGCUCGAAAAAGAUAAGGGCACUGUUGAUCUAAUUUUUUUGGACAGCCCCUUUGUACCUGCUUCACAAAAAAAAGAUAGUUGAGCCAGC
rnacentral:lncRNA from 1 species